rnacentral:rRNA from 1 species
UACGGAGGAUCCAAGCGUUAUCCGGAUUUAUUGGGUUUAAAGGGUGCGUAGGCGGCUCAUUAAGUCAGGGGUGAAAGACGGUAGCUUAACUAUCGCAGUGCCUUUGAUACUGAUGGGCUUGAAUGUACUUGAGGUAGGCGGAAUGUGACAAGUAGCGGUGAAAUGCAUAGAUAUGUCACAGAACACCAAUUGCGAAGGCAGCUUACUAAAGUAUGAUUGACGCUGAGGCACGAAAGCGUGGGGAUCAAACAGG